GUUUUUAUAGUGUAACACCAACACGUUGCUUUUUCGUAGCAAAGCUGAAAUACGAUUUCUGAAAACU
rnacentral:tRNA from 1 species